rnacentral:rRNA from 1 species
AAUUUUUUAUGAGAGUUUGAUCCUGGCUCAGGAUGAACGCUGGCGGCGUGCCUAACACAUGCAAGUCGAGCGAGGGUUUGCUCAGUAUUGAGUAUUCUAAGUCUAGAAUGUUCAAUUCUGAGCAAAACCAAGCGGCGGACGGGUGAGUAACGCGUGGGUAACCUGCCCUAUACACAUGGAUAACAUACUGAAAAGU